UCUUAUGUACAUGCCUACAACAUACCAUUAAUGCAUUGGAUCCCAUUAGAACUCCACAGUUAAGUGCGCUUGGGCUAGAGUAGUACUGGGAUGGGUGACCGCUCGGGAAGUCAUAUUAUUUUACAU
rfam:Picea glauca, whole genome shotgun sequence.